AGAAUCAACGCUGGCGGCGUGCCUCAGACAUGCAAGUCGAACGCGAAAGUUUCCUUCGGGAGGCGAGUAGAGUGGCGCACGGGUGAGUAACACGUAGGUAAUCUACCUUUGGGUGGGGAAUAACAGCCGGAAACGGCUGCUAAUACCGCAUAAUGCAGCGGCUCGACAUCGAGACAGUUGUUAAAGCGGGGGAUUCGCAAGAACCGUCGCGCCUAAAGAGGAGCCGUGCGGCGGAUUAGCUAGUGGUAAGGUAUGGCUUACCAAGGCAUCGAU
rnacentral:rRNA from 1 species